UACAGAGGUCUCAAGCGUUGUUCGGAUUCAUUGGGCGUAAAGGGUGCGUAGGCGGCGCGGUAAGUCGGGUGUGAAAUCUCGGAGCUUAACUUCGAAACUGCAUUUGAUACUGGCGUGCUUGAGGACUGGAGAGGAGACUGGAAUUCAUGGUGUAGCAGUGAAAUGCGUAGAGAUCAUGAGGAAGACCAGUGGCGAAGGCGGGUCUCUGGACAGUUCCUGACACUGAGGCACGAAGGCCAGGGGAGCAAACGGG
rnacentral:rRNA from 1 species